CCUACGGGAGGCAGCAGUGGGGAAUAUUGGACAAUGGGCGAAAGCCUGAUCCAGCAAUGCCGCGUGAGUGAUGAAGGCCUUAGGGUUGUAAAGCUCUUUUACCCGGGAUGAUAAUGACAGUACCGGGCGAAUAAGCUCCGGCUAACUCCGUGCCAGCAGCCGCGGUAAUACGGAGGGAGCUAGCGUUAUUCGGAAUUACUGGGCGUAAAGCGCACGUAGGCGGCUUUGUAAGUAAGAGGUGAAAGCCCAGAGCUCAACUCUGGAAUUGCCUUUAGACUGCAUCGCUUGAAUCAUGGAGAGGUCAGUGGAAUUCCGAGUGUAGAGGUGAAAUUCGUAGAUAUUCGGAAGAACACCAGUGGCGAAGGCGGCUGACUGGACAUGUAUUGACGCUGAGGUGCGAAAGCGUGGGGAGUAAACAGGAUUAGAUACCCUGGUAGUCCACGCCGUAAACGAUGAUAACUAGCUGUCCGGACACUUGGUGUUUGGGUGGCGCAGCUACGCAUUAAGUUAUCCGCCGUGGGAGGUACGGCCGCGAAGGUUAAAACGUUAAAGGUAAAGUUAGACGGCGUGAGACGUGCCGAACGGACGACGACGAGGGAGGAGG
rnacentral:rRNA from 1 species